rnacentral:rRNA from 1 species
CAGUCGCCACGGUAAUACGGAGGGUGCAAGCGUUAAUCGGAAUUACUGGGCGUAAAGCGCACGCAGGCGGUCUGUCAAGUCGGAUGUGAAAUCCCCGGGCUCAACCUGGGAACUGCAUUCGAAACUGGCAGGCUAGAGUCUUGUAGAGGGGGGUAGAAUUCCAGGUGUAGCGGUGAAAUGCGUAGAGAUCUGGAGGAAUACCGGUGGCGAAGGCAGCCAUCUGGCCUAAUACUGACGCUGAGGUACGAAAGCAUGGGGAGCAAACAGGAUUAGAUACCCCUGUAGUCCCUGUCUCUUAUAC